rnacentral:rRNA from 1 species
AUUCAAGUUUCUGACCUAUCAGCUUUCGACGGUAUGGUAUUGGCUUACCGUGGCAGUGACGGUUAACGGGGGAUUAGGGUUCGAUUCCGGAGAGGGAGCCUGAGAAACGGCUACCACAUCUAAGGAAGGCAGCAGGCGCGCAAAUUACCCAAUUCUAACAGUUUGAGAGAGGUAGUAACAAGAAAUAACAAUACAAGGCAAUUAAAAUGCUUUGUAAUUGGAAUGAUAGAAAUUUAAACCCUUUUUAAAGUAUCAAUUGGAGGGCAAGUCUGGUGCCAGCAGCCGCGGUAAUUCCAGCUCCAAUAGCGUAUAUUAAAAUUGUUGCAGUUAAAAAGCUCGUAGUUGAAGUUCUGCUAAAAGUAACCGGUCUGCUUUUAAUAAAGGUGGUAUCUUGGUGUGUAUUUAGCAAUGAUGUCCUUUGAAGUGUUUUUUACUUUAUUGUAAUAAAGCAUAUUCAGGACUUUUACUUUGAGAAAAUUAGAGUGUUUCUAGCAGGCUAACGCUUUGAAUACUGCAGCAU